GAUGAACGCUGGCGGCGUGCCCAAUACAUGCAAGUCGAACGCUGAAGGAAGGGGCUUGCUCUUUCCGGAUGAGUUGCGAACGGGUGAGUAACGCGUAGGUAACCUGCCUGGUAGCGGGGGAUAACUAUUGGAAACGAUAGCUAAUACCGCAUAACAGUAGAUGUUGCAUGAUAUCUACUUAAAAGGUGCAAUUGCACCACUACCAGAUGGACCUGCGUUGUAUUAGCUAGUUGGUGAGGUAACGGCUCACCAAGGCGACGAUACAUAGCCGACCUGAGAGGGUGAUCGGCCACACUGGGACUGAGACACGGCCCAGACUCCUACGGGAGGCAGCAGUAGGGAAGCUUCGGCAAUGGACGGAAGUCUGACCGAGCAACGCCGCGGGAGUGAAGAAGGUUAUCGGAUCGUAAAGCUCUGUUGUAAGAGAAGAACGAGUGUGAGAGUGGAAAGUUCACACUGUGACGGUAGCUUACCAGAAAGGGACGGCUAACUACGUG
rnacentral:rRNA from 1 species